CUCUUUCUCUUCAAACUCUUUCUUUUAGAACUCCUCCAAACCCAUAACUCCCCUCAAUUAGAAUCCUUAAACCCCUCAAACUCUUGUUAUUAAAACCUCCAUAAACAAAAUUCGGAAAAUAUCUCCUUCUCACCCCCUUGGCUGAAAUCCCUCUCCAAGCUCUUGGGGUCUUUGCAUUGAGUUCUUCUUCCUCAAGUUUGAGUUGCCAAGCUCUUGAUUUGGGUUAGCCUUGCCUUCACGACGAUCGCGCUUCCAUAGGAGUCGCUCCAUUUCUCAACAUGAUGAGAAGGAGGCUCCUGUAGUUUCUUCACAUGGGGUUGAGUUCCCGCCGGGUAGCUUCCCACUUCACACGAUGAGUGGUUGUAGCCAAGAGACUUUCACCACUAAUGUUGAUAAGCUGUAUAUUGGUUCGACUUCUCAGGGGAACUCUUGCGAGAGGAAGAUAGUGAGACCUGCAAUCAACAUAAUAUCUGACAAUGAGGAGAGAGAAAAGCUCGUUGCUAUAAUUUUGCCUGACUAGGAAUCUGCUUUCCCGGUAUCUGGAUUCGUGCAGGGUCUCCUCCAAAAAUUUGAGAAAUCUAUGUAACAAAUAGCCUCCGCCAUUAGUUUUGGGCGGGGAAAAUUUUAUGAUUUGCUCUCCUUCGUAGCGGAUAGUCUUAAGGAUAUUCAGUGUGUGGGCGGUAUCUAGCUGGCUAGGCGAUGCAAGCAAAAGCUUACUCGCUUAGAGGAACUUAUGUAUCACUUGCAAGAGCUGGUAUACUCCGAUCCACGCGAUGAAGCCACGCCACUCAUGAUUGAUGCUUAGAUUCAGAGGAUGCACGAGCGUAAAGCCCGAGUGAAACGCAUAUCGAAGCAAGAAGUUAUCUUCGUGAAUUUGUAUGAGCGGAAACAUCAUCUGCAAACUAAGAUAGAUGUUUAUAACAACAUUGCUGAUCGUACGGGGGUCAGGACCGCCCAAGGGGAGAGGACCCUAAAGGAUUUUGAGCUCGAGAGUACCAGAUUUCAAAGUGCUUAUAGAGGAGAGUUGGAAGCUCUCCAUGCACUACGUCGAGAAGACACAGCCGCCGACACUACCGCCGUUCUUGCUGAUGCCAAACUCCAGAUGGAAGAG